GUUCUCACUUCCACAGCACAUACACUAAAAUUGGAAUUACACAGAGAAAAUUAGCAUGACCCUUAUGCAAGGUUGACAAAUUUGUGAAGUGUCCAAAUUUUUU
ensembl:snRNA U6 U6 spliceosomal RNA